rnacentral:sRNA from 1 species
CCUGACCACCGGCACAGCGACGGGGCCCUGCCCGCCGGAGCGAUCCGGUGGGCAGGGCCCCGUCGUCGUGCCGGUGCCGCCG